UACGUAGGGUGCAAGCGUUAAUCGGAAUUACUGGGCGUAAAGCGUGCGCAGGCGGUGAUGUAAGACAGGUGUGAAAUCCCCGGGCUUAACCUGGGAACUGCAUUUGUGACUGCAAGGCUGGAGUGCGGCAGAGGGGGAUGGAAUUCCGCGUGUAGCAGUGAAAUGCGUAGAUAUGCGGAGGAACACCGAUGGCGAAGGCAAUCCCCUGGGCCUGCACUGACGCUCAUGCACGAAAGCGUGGGGAGCAAACAGG
rnacentral:rRNA from 1 species